AAUUCCAUGGACAGUCCAUGGAGUCACAAAGAGUCGGACACAGCUUAGCGACUUUCACUUUCACUUGAGGAAGAGGCAUUUGAGUUAGGCUCUUACUUAUUUGAGGAAUAAGUAGCCACUGAUUAUAUGGAUAUUGUGUGGGGAGACAGGAGCAGAGAGAGAGAGUGGAGAAGUGCAAUCUGAGUUUGGGAAACAGCUACUAUCCAUUUUGCUUUGAGCACUGGGAAAUGGGACUGGAAGCACAGAUUAAAGCAAAAUCAUUUAGAACCUAAAAGAUAGGCCAAAGAGAUGGUGCUUAUUUUACAGUGGAGUUGGAAUCCACUGAAGGCAUUUCAGUAGGGAAUGGAAAUGAAUAGGAUCAGUUACUCACAGCACUCGGGUGCCCCAGCAACCUGUGUUUCCCCAACUUUGUCUUUUCUUUGUGUAGUAGGUGAGCUACUUCUGAGACCUCAUUUCCUUCAGGGAGUCCUGUCCAAAAUGCCCUUCAUGCUGCUUAAUAUUCUAUCAAUAUAAGUUCAUCCCUCUAGGACCGACCAGUAGGUUGAAAACUGUAGAAGGGGCAACAUUUCCAGUUCUUGAGUGCUGCAUUGGGUAGAAAGUAGAGCUUCCAAGAGGGCAGUUACCCAGGAGUGGAGAGUUUGGAGAUUUGGGCUUCCUAGUCAUCUUUCCAUCCACAAAAAUGUGAAUUUCUCCUCUUCUCUGCUUCUAACCUGACUCCUUGUGUGGAGAUUGCACAAGGUCCUCCACCAGAAAUCACAUUCAUGGGGAAAGCAAAACAGUCAGCAGGGUCUGUAUAGCCAGGUGGUGCAGAGAUGGUCUUUUUUUGAGGCCAUCAGCCUGUUUCUCCCUUACUGCUAGAGGAGAAACUUUGAGGCCCAACUUUUUGGGUACCCAGGGGGUUGAUUUUCCUUUCCCAUGUUUUGUAAUUUUUCAUUGUGACCGCAUCAUUAGUGGAGCUUUAUGGGAGGGAGUCUUGUGGGAGUUGGUUUAGGAGUAUAUAUUCUUCUAGUGUGCUUGUUUAUAUCUGCCAGCUGACCCUGAAGAGAUUUCCAAGCCAAAACUACUGAACUUGUAGAUUCCAGGGAACCCCAAACCAGAGGAGAAUCUCUUGGCUGGCUGCCACAGGGACCAGAGAGCAGUACCUCUGAGAUUCUGUCUAACCUCAAGUAGGAUGAGGGUCUUGGGGCAGUGACCUGUUUUACAAGUGAAACAAAAAUUAAUAGACUGUGAUGUUAGCAGACGUGCCUGAAGCAGAGGCUUGAAAGUGCCUGCAUGCUUCUGAUUGAUCUCUCGCUCUUCAGACGUUACCACAAGGACAGUCCAGGCUGGCCAACUGUUCCAAAGAGGAAGGACUGGAAACCCAAAUGAUGACUCUUGGUACUUCAUUUAAACUGUCUUCUGGCUCCACAUUUGCAUGUAGGAGGAGAACUAGAACAGCACAACAGCUCCUGACAUUUGGAGAAGGCUUGAAGAGCUUCCUGAUGUUUGCUGGUUUUGAUUUGCUUUGCAGGAUGCUAGAUUAAACCUCAGAAUCCUGGAAAAUAACCUUGCUAUUUUCCUUAGCAGAGGUACAAGGUCUGAAACUAUUUUGUCAAAUGCCAGGGUGGCCGGCCCCAACUCCAGAGCUGUGGCUCGUCUGUACCCUCACUGUAUCACACAUUACCAAUAUAGCCCAGUGCUGCUGCCCUUGCAGUCCAGAAACGAGCCCAAAUCCUCCCAACACAGCCCUCCAGGCAGCCAGUACUGCUUGAUCAGAGU